UACGGAGGGUGCAAGCGUUAUCCGGAUUCACUGGGUUUAAAGGGUGCGUAGGAGGGCAGGUAAGUCAGUGGUGAAAUCCUCCGGCUCAACCGGAGAACUGCCUCGGAUACUGGGCGUCUCGAGUGUGGUAGGGGUAUGCGGAACUAUCGGUGGAGCGGUGAAAUGCGUUGAUAUCGAUAGGAACUCCGGUGGCGAAGGCGGCAUACUGGACCACCACUGACGCUGAUGCGCGAAAGCCAGGGAGCAAACGGG
rnacentral:rRNA from 1 species